rnacentral:RNase_P_RNA from 1 species
AGAGGGGUACAGACGGCAUGCGCACGUUGUACACACAAUUCAUUGUGUGUAAGCGUUGUGAGGAAAGUCCGGACACCACAGGGCAGGAUGCCGGGUAACACCCGGGCGCCGCAAGGCGACGGAAAGUGCAACAGAAAACAUACCGCCCCUUUGUGGGGUAAGGGUGAAAAGGCGAGGUAAGAGCUCACCGCAUCUGCAGUAAUGCAGGUGGCAGUGCAAACCCCAUCCGGUGCAAGGCCAAAUAGGCAACCGCUACUAAAGUGGCCCGCUUGAGGUUGCGGGUAGGCCGCGUGGAUGUGCAUGGCAACAUGCAUACAAGAUUGAUGGCUGUCAAAACAGAAUCCGGCUUAUGUACCCCUCUUUAU